rnacentral:misc_RNA from 1 species
UUAGCUAUUAAAUCGCUGCUCGGACGUCACGGUGAACGGGGUUUGGGGGGGUCUCUGGCGGGCGCGCGUCCACCGGGGUCGACGGGAGGCACACAGGCCCCACGGCCCGCCAAAGCAACACAGGUAGGUAGACAUGGGUGGGAGGGUCGGGCCCCGGGGGACCCUAUCUCGGUAAUGAUCCCUCCGCAGGUUCACCUACGGAGA